GAACAAAAGCAAAUAAAACCAAACUAUAAGAAACUACUGUCUCUUAAAAUUGUAAAUGGCUUUGUUAUUUCUAUGCCACUAAAAAUGUAUCAUUCAAAAGUCCCAUAACGUUACAAUUUUUAAUUAACACUCAAAUCAUCCUCCUACUUAUUAACACUGUGUAGUUACUUGGCUCUCUCAAUGCCAUCCAUUUAAGAUUCUACCUAAACAUUA
rnacentral:sRNA from 1 species